GGACGGACCAACGGUGUACCGGUUAUGUCGCCAGACGUACAGCCGGGUAGCUGCGUCCGGAAGGGAUAAACGCUGAAAGCAUCUAAGCGUGAAGCCUGUCUUAAGAUGAAGUAUCUCAUAGUUUACUAGUAAGACCCCUUGAAGAAUACGAGGUAGAUAGGAUACGAGUGGAAGUACGGUAACGUAUGCAGCAUAGUAUUACUAAUCGGUCGAGGUCUUGUCUAU
rnacentral:rRNA from 1 species